CCUACUAAAAUGCUCAUUUGUGUGUGGACCCCCAAAUGUUAAAUUAAAUCAAGGCUACUCGCGGUCUGCUGCUAUUGCCCGCCAGGUUUUUUGCAUUUAUUUUCACGUGUAGCUGAUCCACUGUACUGAGAAGUGCUAGCUUCCUGUUAUUAACAAACCAACUUGGGGCGGCUGCAAAACAGCCUGUGACAUUCUGUGCAUUAUAAACAGUAGUAAGUCACUGGAGUAAUUGGCUGAAGAAUUUACAAUCCAUUGUUUUGGAAUCUUGUUCUUCCUCCAUGGCAAAGGAAGAAAAGGAGAAAGAGAGAGCGAGAGAGAGAAAAAUGCCUUUAUGUUACUCCUCUCCAUUAUGGCACAGAAGCAGAACUGGAGCUCAGGAGGACAGUGAAUUCUAGACCAGCUCUGGUUGUCUGACCUCUGAUGAGUCACUGAAUCACCCAGAGCCCAGUGUAUCCAAGGGAAGUUUUUAACUCCUAUCUUACCUCUAAAUUGUAUCAUUUUUCUGAGAAAUAAAAACAAUAAUAUAAGUAAAAGUGUUAUAAGUGUUGCACAAACCUGGCA
rnacentral:lncRNA from 10 species